CAAAGGAGCAAUCCGCUGAAAGAUGGGCUCGCGUCCGAUUAGGUAGUUGGCGGGGCAACGGCCCACCAAGCCGACGAUCGGUAGCCGGACUGAGAGGUUGAACGGCCACAUUGGGACUGAGACACGGCCCAGACUCCUACGGGAGGCAGCAGUGAGGGAUAUUGGUCAAUGGGGGAAACCCUGAACCAGCAACGCCGCGUGAGGGAAGACGGUUUUCGGAUUGUAAACCUCUGUCCUCUGUGAAGAUGAUGACGGUAGCAGAGGAGGAAGCUCCGGCUAACUACGUGCCAGCAGCCGCGGUAAUACGUAGGGAGCAAGCGUUGUCCGGAUUUACUGGGUGUAAAGGGUGCGUAGGCGGCUUUGCAAGUCAGAAGUGAAAUCCAUGGGCUUAACCCAUGAACUGCUUUUGAAACUGCAGAGCUUGAGUGGAGUAGAGGUAGGCGGAAUUCCCGGUGUAGCGGUGAAAUGCGUAGAGAUCGGGAGGAACACCAGUGGCGAAGGCGGCCUGCUGGGCUCUAACUGACGCUGAGGCACGAAGGCGUGGGUAGCAAACAGGAUUAGAUACCCUGGUAGUCCACGCUGUAAACGAUGAUUACUAGGUGUGGGUGGACUGACCCCAUCC
rnacentral:rRNA from 1 species